ensembl:lncRNA
AGGCAGCAGACCGUCGGGCAACGGCUGUUUCCACAAUGUCUGGAGGAUUAUUUUAACGGAGCUGGAAGUGAGCGGAAACCCUGGAGCAGCGAAAGAGUGAAAAACCGGGCCGCCUCUGCCUGCACAGUGACGUCAGACAUCACCACAAGCUUCGCCUGCACAGCUGAGGGCAAAAAAGGUCUGCCUGCAUUGCUUUGACAUACCAGUGAGCAGCACCUCCUCCUCCAGAGUGAUUGCACUCAUUCCGCUGGAAGCUGCACUCUUCUGCGAGCUCUGUCAUUACUACCAUCUAAGCAGUGUAAUUACCAGCCUCGAUGUGUGUUUGCGGUGCGCGAUUCAAGCCUGCAUCAUGCUGGGCAAGCUGGAGUGGGUGAGCAGAGCGCGCGCGAGAGAGCGUGAAUGGGAGAGCCAGAACAGGGGAGGUACAUCCCUGAGCUAACUAAUUACUGUAUGUGAGUAAUUAAAAAGCAUUAAAUGUCUGCUAUUUAUCUUCUGAAGUCUGUGCCAGAGACUGUGCUGGAUGUUUCUGCCCUCCUCUCACUGAAGAGGAGGGAGAUUAAGUCUUUUCUUCUUUUUUUUCCUCCCAUGUGUGUCUCCUUUUUUGCCUGUUUGUUUGCAGUCAAUGAUCAAUUUAUGUUGAUUUGCUUUAAAAAUACUCUCUUACUUUAAAUACAACUGGUUCUCAAGAUUCCCACCAUCAGGUAUACAAUAUAUUAGCUCCUUACUGCUAAUUACUUUGUGAUGGGGAGGUUUCUUCCUCACACAGCAACAGCAUUUGUUUUGUCUCAGUACCAUUUACUUAAGAAAAACUUGGACUUUGACUUGAGAAUUUGACGUCCUGAGAGUUUGCAUUUAAGAAAAUUAACGACAUUACCAUCAGCCUCAGCUCUACUUUUGCUUACAGCUCAUCGGCAGCUGUUAGUACUCUCGCAGAUUUACAGUAUUUAAACAUCAAACAUGCUAACCAACAGCAUGUUAGUAGCACAUGUGUGACCAAGUAUUGCCACACAGUGCCUGUAGCAUGGCUGUAGAUCACAUAUGCACUGCAUUACCUCACAGAGGGGCACCUCAAAGGCUGAAGUCCUUACUGCAGCAGCCUGGGUUUGACUCUGCUCCAGACCUUGAACUAACUACACGUCUCUCUACUUUUCUGUUUGUCCACAUUAUCCUAUCUGCCAAAGGCCUAAAAUACCAG